GAGAGGGUAACUUGUCUGCUGUACAAGCGACAAACAUGGUGUGCUGUGUGGUUACAACUGUGGUGGCGGCUGUUGUGGUGCUGAUAUUGACUGUCAAGUUCAUCUAUCGUUACCAGUCAGGACGAUGUACCUCCAAAACAAGACUGGUGGGUAAGACAGCCAUCGUCACAGGAGCAUCUGCAGGUAUCGGGAAGGAGACA